UUUUCUUUCCCAAACCAGCUUAUCUGAUUCAAACCACAGACAUCUCUGCUUUUCCAGUUUUCCUCAAACAACUUAUCUCAUUCAAAAUUCAAAUUCAUUAUUUCCCCAAAACAGAUCUCCAAAACCCAGAGAGAGAAGAGAUGAAAGUUGAAGGGAUUCAGGCGAUUUGGUUUUAAUCUACUCAUUCGGAUCCGAUUUGGUUUUAAUUGCAGUCUGGUUGUCGUUUUCGAAGAGUUGGUGUUUAAAGAUAAUCAACAAUGGUGCUUUCACUCGAUUCGCAAUCAUCGGCGUUUCAUUGUAUCUGGUGAAAAUGAUGGGAUGAUGAGCACAGUUGAUAGUACACCAGAUAUGUGGGCAUGGGUUAUACAGAAAUCUAAGGAUGGAGGAUUGGAAUUUCAUAAGCCUGUUAGAGGCCAGGAGUGGAUAUGGGUUGGUUUAGCCUCAAUGGGAAUAUCCUUAUCUGGCCAGUCUCGGUUUUUGAAGUCGAACUAAAACAUAUGCCAUCAUAAAUGAAGGUAGUUUUCUAUACUUUUGUCUAUUCCCCCAUUUGACUGUUUUCCUUCUUUUCUAUUGUCUCUUAAGCACAUAAACUGCGACUUUCUAUUGCGGAACACAAGUUGUGGUUCAUCUUAGGUUGAUCUAAAUGUUGGAAGUUGCUUCUAUUGUUGCCCCCAUUUGAUAAUUUAGUAAAGAUUUUAAAAACGAUUUUCACUAAAAUCAAAUAUUGGAAAUUUCUUGGUGUGUCGACCCACUAAUUUGUUUCCAUGAGUAGUUUCUGGUGGUGAUAAAGCAUCAUUGGCUUGAGCUGAAGAUUUGUUAACAAAAGAGAUGACUGUGUAGGAGGUAUGUUUACAAUACCAGACCAACCAACAUAUAUAAAACCCCUAAUGACGGGUGGAGAUUUGGAAGGUUGUGUUAAAAUGUUGGUCUUUUUGUAAUUGUGUUUGGUUGGUUGUAUUGAUUUUAGGUUGACUUGUAGCCUAUAUAGAUUUGCAUUUGCU